rnacentral:rRNA from 1 species
GACGAACGCUGGCGGCGUGCUUAACACAUGCAAGUCGAACGGAAAGGCCCUGCUUUUGUGGGGUGCUCGAGUGGCGAACGGGUGAGUAACACGUGAGUAACCUGCCCUUGACUUUGGGAUAACUUCAGGAAACUGGGGCUAAUACCGGAUAGGAGCUCCUGCUGCAUGGUGGGGGUUGGAAAGUUUCGGCGGUUGGGGAUGGACUCGCGGCUUAUCAGCUUGUUGGUGGGGUAGUGGCUUACCAAGGCUUUGACGGGUAGCCGGCCUGAGAGGGUGACCGGCCACAUUGGGACUGGGAUACGGCCCAGACUCCUACGGGAGGCAGCAGUGGGGAAUAUUGCACAAUGGGCGGAAGCCUGAUGCAGCAACGCCGGGUGCGGGAUGACGGCCUUCGGGUUGUAAACCGCUUUCGCCUGUGACGAAGCGUGAGUGACGGUAAUGGGUAAAGAAGCACGGGCGAACUACGU